UUGGCUUCAUUACAUCCUGUUCAAAAUUUACAAGGGAUAAUUUAGAAGUCUCUAUGUUUUGCUAUGUAGUAAAAAUAUUUACUGGAAAGGCACAAUUUAUUAUUAUGCAGAUACCAAAUCUAAUAGAGGAAGUGGUGCUCGAACAAAUGGAAGUGGGAGAAAAUGGAAAAAAAGACGAUGGGAAACACCACAUGAUAAUGAUGACAAAGAAGAUGAAGAGCAGCAUCCUUUAAAUGAAUAGGGACCACAUGACAAUGAUGACAAAGAAGAUGAAGAGCAGCAUCCUUUAAAUGAAUCGGGACCAGAAUGUCAAAAGAAACUAUUUGAAGAUGAGGACAUGGUUAUAGAUGAUAGGAUGGUAUAGAAGUGGUGAAAAAUACUCAUGCAUUUAAGAUAGGUGAUUUUUUACUAGUUGAAUUCGACCUGGUGAAAAGCAGCAAGAAAAGAAACUACAUAGCAGAGGCAAGUAUUUUUGAGGAUUUGUCCACUUCUACUAAAGAGUUCAUAUUU